rnacentral:rRNA from 1 species
GCGGCAGGCCUAACACAUGCAAGUCGAACGGUAACAUUUCCAGCUUGCUGGAAGAUGACGAGUGGCGCACGGGUGCGUAACGCGUAUGCAAUCUACCUUUUACAGGAGUAUAGCCCAGAGAAAUUUGGAAUAAUCCUCCAUAUUAUCUUUUUUUCGCAUGGAAUUAAGAUGAAAGCUUCGGCGGUAAAAGAUGAGCAUGCGUCCUAUUAGUUUGUUGGUAAGGUAACGGCUUACCAAGACUACGAUAGGUAGGGGCCCUGAGAGGGGGAUCCCCCACACUGGUACUGAGACACGGACCAGACUCCUACGGGAGGCAGCAGUGAGGAAUAUUGGACAAUGGACGAAAGUCUGAUCCAGCCAUGCCGCGUGCAGGAUGACUGCCCUAUGGGUUGUAAACUGCUUUUAUACAGGAAGAAACACUCCCUCGUGAGGGAGCUUGACGGUACUGUAAGAAUAAGGAUCGGCUAACUCCGUGCCAGCAGCCGCGGUAAUACGGAGGAUCCAAGCGUUAUCCGGAAUCAUUGGGUUUAAAGGGUCCGCAGGCGGUCUUUUAAGUCAGAGGUGAAAUCCUACAGCUCAACUGUAGAACUGCCUUUGAUACUGAAAGACUUGAGUUAUUGUGAAGUGGUUAGAAUGUGUGGUGUAGCGGUGAAAUGCAUAGAGAUCACACAGAAUACCAAUUGCGAAGGCAGAUCACUAACAAUAUACUGACGCUCAUGGACGAAAGCGUGGGGAGCGAACAGGAUUAGAUACCCUGGUAGUCCACGCCGUAAACGAUGGAUACUAGCUGUUCGACCUUCGGGUUGAGUGGCUAAGCGAAAGUGAUAAGUAUCCCACCUGGG